GGUUUUGAUUAGCAGUGGCCUCCUUUCUUUUAGGGUACCCAAGGGGCUCUGUGCCUCACCUACUUCCAGGAUGAUGCAUAGCUCAGGAGGAGCCCAGAAUAAGAUGAAGACUUGCCACUCAGGGAGCUUAAGAACAUAUGAGCGCUAUUCUCCCUCCCCCUGCUGGUACAGUAUCAAGAGUAACAACAGCUGAGAUUUACUGAGUACUGACAAGCCUCAGGUGCUGUGCUAAGAGAGUCUCUGGGACAAUGGAGAAUGCACGAGUAGAGAAGACACAAGCCAUAUAUGUGUUUACCGUUUCUUGCUGCCCCAUUGGUUUGGCAGUACCCCAAGAGCACAGAAUUCCAGUGGGAGCCCAGUAAGAUGCAAAGCAAGUCAAAGCUCUCUGCUUUCAGCAGUGUGGUCCUGGUGAAGGGUGGAACACAGUGCAGAUAUCGAUC